rnacentral:rRNA from 1 species
AUUGAACGCUGGCGGCAUGCCUUACACAUGCAAGUCGAACGGUAACGGGCCUUCGGGUGCCGCCGAGUGGCGAACGGGUGAGUAAUACAUCGGAACGUGCCCGAUCUUGGGGGAUAACGAGGCGAAAGCUUUGCUAAUACCGCAUACGAUCUACGGAUGAAAGCAGGGGACCGCAAGGCCUUGCGCGGACGGAGCGGCCGAUGGCAGAUUAGGUAGUUGGUGGGAUAAAAGCUUACCAAGCCGACGAUCUGUAGCUGGUCUGAGAGGAUGAUCAGCCACACUGGGACUGAGACACGGCCCAGACUCCUACGGGAGGCAGCAGUGGGGAAUUUUGGACAAUGGGCGCAAGCCUGAUCCAGCCAUGCCGCGUGCAGGAUGAAGGCCUUCGGGUUGUAAACUGCUUUUGUACGGAACGAAAAGCCUUCUUUUAAUACAGGAGGGUCAUGACGGUACCGUAAGAAUAAGCACCGGCUAACUACGUG